rnacentral:rRNA from 1 species
AUUGAACGCUGGCGGCAGGCCUAACACAUGCAAGUCGAGCGAGCGGCGGACGGGUGAGUAAUGUCUGGGAAACUGCCUGAUGGGGGGGGAUAACAACUGGAAACGGUAGCUAAUACCCCAUAUCAUCAGAUGUGCCCAGAUGGGAUGAGCUAGUAGGUGGGGUAACGGCUCACCUAGGCGACGAUCCCUAGCUGGUCUGAGAGGAGGACCAGCCACACUGGAACGGAGACACGGUCCAGACUCCUACGGGAGGCAGCAGUGGGGAAUAUUGCACAAUGGGCGCAAGCCUGAUGCAGCCAUGCCGCGUGUGUGAAGAAGGCCUUCGGGUUGUAACGCACUUUCAGCGGGGAGGCUUUAUCCGCAGAAGAAGCACCGGCUAACUCCGUGCCAGCAGCCGCGGUAAUUC